AACCGAACCUACCCGUCCUCCACCUACCGAAAUUCGAGCCCCUCCCCAACCCACAACCACCACCACCACCAUUUCCUCCCAACGUCCACCCUUCAGGCCUGCCGGAAUAGCUCCUCCUCCUCCUCCUCCUCCUCCACCACCACAAGCUCCUGCUUCUCCCGUCAGGACAAGACGAACUACCUCGGUCCCACCAUCUCCUACCCGGACCAUGUCUCGCUCUCUGCUGUCAGAAGGAGCUCCAAUAGCCCAAUCAGCAUCUCCGACACUGCCUUCUCCUGAACUAAAGCUUACGGAGGACAUUCCUACCUCAAAAGCAGAGCAUCAACGUUUAGGAAGCGGAGAGUCCGAUCCCAAAAUUUCAAAAGCAGCCACCACUGAAGAAAUGAAUGAACCGGAAGCAGAAACUAAACGAGAUGAAAACACAAAAAGGGAAGGAAAUACGAACCUCUCUAGUUCUGAAGGUACCCUGAGAAAAAGAGUCGCUGAACUUCUUUCAUCUGCAACUCAAACCAGAGAGUCUGUGAGCAUGGCCUCUCUAUUCGGCGCUGACAGGAAGAAGUCUAUGACGAGCACUGGAUCAGUUGAUGCGAAGAUCAAAGGAGUUAGUUCUACUAGCCAUACAAGGACCAAGAAGGCUGCAAGGUCCAGCAAUGGAGGAGAACAAGUUCCAUUUCACAGAGAGAUCAAGGAAGAGGUCUCUAAGUUGGUUCAAAAGCUCGGUCAGGGACACACCAAGCAGCCAAAUGGUGACCAGCCCGUUAGCAUGGUCACUCUGGCUGGCGAAAACAGGGGAGCCACAAUGCAUUUCGAAGGUGAGCCAGAGAGGAAAGACGGAUCCUUGCAUAUUCAUCGCGGAUACAAGACAAAUCCAGAUGACAGCAUUGAAGAAGGAAUCAAGAAGGGAAAG
rnacentral:lncRNA from 1 species